AGCAUAUGUUUACUGUGCAAACGACUAACUCACUUUAUGGUGUUUGGUUUCCUAAAUGAAAACAUUCUCCAGGAAAGACUUGGGCAGGCUUCUUGCUGAGAGAGUGAGCAGAGAAGGAGCGCAGCGAACGCCUCUCCUCUCCCUUCGCCCUCUCGCCUGGGACGGCCGGGUAAUUACAUCAUUUGGAGAUGGAAUGGAAGCACUUUACAAGCGAAAUCUGGUUUGGAUCAGUCUUGAGAAAGGACAAAGACAAGGGACAGUCAGGACUGCAGAGAAAACCACUGAGACCGACCCGCCUUCCGUCCAGGACUUAAAGAUGCAGACAACAUAUUCCAGCUCCUCCUCUCUGAGCCGGCAGCAGCAGCAGCAGCGCUACAAACAGACAGGCUUCCACGCUAACACUUCCACGCUGUUUCCAUCAGAGUACAGUGUUUGGAGAUGAAGGAUGAGACAGAAUGUGAACUUCACAAGGGAGGAACACUCAUACCAUCAGAGGCGGCCAAUUGAUGUUUCCUUGAAACAAUCUACAAUCCAAGACAGAGAAGUGAGGAAUCUGUCUGUGGGAUCAGAGACUCAAAGGAGAGGCUGAAAGGCGAUGAGGACCACAACAGUAGCGUCCUGACGGGUCUGCAGAGAGCACAUGUUCUCCAAAACCCCCAGUAAGGAGAGCCAGAGGGAGUCUAGCUGCAUUCAUCUCCAAGAAUCAAACUGCAGCACAGGAGGUGAAGCACUGAGUGGAAAUGUUUCUCCCUGCUGGGAACUUUGGAUUUGUCUGCCGGCAGCAGCAGGACUCAGAAGGUUCGAGUACGCACAGUACACACACAC